rnacentral:rRNA from 1 species
AGUGAACGCUGGCGGUAGGCCUAACACAUGCAAGUCGAACGGCAGCACAGUAAGUGCUUGCUAUUACGGGUGGCGAGUGGCGGACGAGUGAGGAAUACAUCGGAAUCUACUUUUUCGUGGGGGAUAACGUAGGGAAACUUACGCUAAUACCGCAUACGACCUACGGGUGAAGGCAGGGGAUCUUCGGACCUUGCGCGAUUGAAUGAGCCGAUGUCGGAUUAGCUAGUUGGGGGGGUAAAGGCCCACCAAGGCGAGGAUCCGUAGCUGGUCUGAGAGGAUGAUCAGCCACACUGGAACUGAGACGAGGCCCAGACUCCUACGGGAGGCAGCGGUGGGGAAUAUUGGACUAUGGGAUGAAGGCUGGUCCGGCCAUGCCGAGUGGGUGAAAGAGGCCUUCGGGUUGUAAAGCCAUUUUGUUGGGAAAGAAAGGCAGCGGGUUAAUACCCCGCGGUUCUGACGGUACCCAAAGAAUAAGCACCGGCUAACUUCGUG